ACUCUUCGCUCUUCAUUUUUUUUUUUUUAUUUUAUUUUAUUUUGAGACUCUCCCAAGGUGAUCUAUGUAGCUGCGGGUGACCUCGAACCUCUCUGAUCCUCUUUCCUCGGGCUUCAGGGUGCUGGGGUGACAGUGCAAUGCCACCACAUUUAGGCACAUCAGUUUAUAGGCAAUGCUGGGGGUCAGACCUAGGGCUUCUUGCACGCUAGGCAAACACUAGACCAACAGCACCCUCCCUUUCCUUUUCCAGAAUGGGUGUUGGGGAACAUGAGGACACGAGUGAGCACAAGAAUGAAACAUUUGUGAAACCAAAAUGGUUUCAUAAGCUGCUGUUUUUGGAAUGCUUGAAAUAACUUCGUUCACUUUCUGCCUAGCUCCCAGGCUCUUUCGCCACUCCAGGCACUUUUGAAACAGUCUCCCGCUGGGCUGCUGAGUUCAAGUACAGGGUUUCAGGCACGCCCACCCUCCAGGUUACCCACAGAAGGUCAUCCUAGUAACCUUUUCCACAUUGCCUCUGGAGAGGGGAAGGGGGAGGGGAGGGGGAGGGGGAGGGGGAGGGGGAGAGAGAGAGUUAGUUUUCAGUAACUCAAGUGACCUGCAAGAACAGUGAAUUUGGUGACCUUUUAUUUAUUAUUAUAUAAUUGUUUUCAAAUCUUGGCUUAUUCACUGUUUUUCAAUGUGAACUUUAAAUUCUGUUUGUUCUUGUGCCCUUAGUCCCUAGAUACAGGCUCAGACAUCACCAAUUGUGCUGUCCCCAACUCUGGGAGUAAAAGUCACAUUGCUGUUUUGAAAUCUAGAAACAUUUUCCUUUGUUACUAGGUGAAGAUUCUGAGCCUGAGCUGUCCUCCUGAGAAGGGAUGAUGUUUGACAUCCAGGUCAGGAUUUGAAUCUGAAACCCAAGCUCUGGUUUGAUUUUCCUUAGCCACCUACACAGAUCACCACGUGACUUAGGGGGCGAAGGGGGAGGGAAGAGGGCUGGUGAGCUGUUCAUUUCCAUUUAGAACUUUUGCGUCUUGAUGCCAAUGACCUGGUCACUUGUUCUCAGCAGUCAAGUGAAGCCUGACGCUGGAAAUUUUUCUCCACAGCUGUGGUGUAACUUGAAUAUAUUUCUUUCCACUGGGUCAAGGAACAAAUUUUUCAUUGUGUAUAAAUUCUCUUCUCCACAGAAGAGAAGGCUAGGUCUGUCCCCGAUGCUCUGUAAUCAAGUUCAGCUCCUUGCUAAGCCCCAGCCUCAGUCUAGAUUAGAGUCUGAAUUUGUGCAGUGAUGUCGAACAGCACCCACCAGUUCUGCCAGGAGGGGUUUCAGAUCCACGGUAUGUUUUUAGGAGUCUCAAAAAGAGAAUUCACCACAGUUUCUUAACAGUUGGAGAGAAGAUUGACAGAAUUUGCAGUUUUCUUAGGCAUAUCUCUGUGCAUUUUGCUUUCUGCUUUUGUUGUCAACUUAAGCUUUCUUUCUGUGGUGGUUGGAGAGUAACAGGGAGGAUCUAAGAAAGCACAGAUGACCUUGGUCUUUGCCGUCAAUGUGGUUUUGUUCCCUGCAUGCUUAGAAAUCGUCUUGGAGGGCUGGAGAGAUGGCUCAGCGGUUAAGAAAUCGUCUUGGUGGAUUUUGUGUGCAUCUAAGUCAUGCUUUCUUAAGGACACAUAAUAUGUCUGUCUUAAUUGUCUCCAGGAAUGGAGUGCAGACAUUCCUAAUACUUGUCUGUCUGGUGGAAGUGGAUGUCUGGGAGAGGUGCAGCCCACUGAAACUUAGCUCUCCUGAGAGGGCCAAUCAGGCUUAUCAUGGUGGUGGUGGCAGCUAGCUUACUUUUAGCAAGCCCUCACUGGGGUUGCUAUGAUUGUAACGUGAUAGCUCUUGUUAUCAGCCAUCUCUGGCUGGUCUUCCAAUGUUAUCACACAAAAUCUUUACCACAGUCCUACAAGUUAGGCACUUUUAUCUUCAUUAGUUUUGCUCUGGUUGCCUAGCAUGUGAGCCAGAACUUGAGUAGCCCAGCGUUCCCUCAAGCUCAGAUCAUGUAUCUUUUUGUACGUGGUAUUGCAGGUCCUUUUCAAGGCUUUCAGGAUCAAAGGUCUGUGGACCUAGGUGAUGAAUAUUCCUCCUCAUUUUUGAAAAAUACUACCCCCCCAUUAAAAAAAAACAAAAAACAAAAGCAGGUUGCAGGACUGGAGUGAUGACUCAGAGGUAAAGGACAGGUAUUGCUUUCCAAAAGGACCAGACUUCGGUUCUGAACACCCAUGUUGACAGCUCACAACUGCCCUGCCUGGAACUCGAUCUGACACCUUUGGCCUCCAAGGGCACCAUUCUCAAAUGCACAGACACACACAUUCACACUGGGGAUAAGUGAAAGUGGAUUUUUAAAAGGGCUGUGUCUUUCCCAUAGCACUCUGUUAGGAACAGUUUUAAGAGUCUCAGUAAAAGAGCAAUGCAGAUGGGAGCUAGAAAAGUGGUCUUCAGGUUUGAGCCUUUGGGGUGCUGUAGAAGUUGAACAUCUUUGGGUUUGUUUGUUUAUUUAUUUAUUUACUUAUUUAUUUAUUUAGGUUCUUUCAAGCCAGGGUCUUACUAUGUAGCUCUCUCUGGCUAUCUUGGAACUCACUAUAUAAACCAGGCUGGCCCUCAGACUCACCAAGAUCCAAGUGAUGGGAUUAAAGUUGUGUGCCUAGCUUUUGUUCAGUAUUUUUUUUUUUAGCUUUAAAAGUAAUCUUUAAGUGGGUUUAAUAAAGCUUUCACCCAUUCUAUCCC
rnacentral:lncRNA from 1 species